GUUAAGCGACUAAGCGUACACGGUGGAUGCCCUGGCAGUCAGAGGCGAUGAAGGACGUGCUAAUCUGCGAAAAGCGUCGGUAAGGUGAUAUGAACCGUUACAGCCGGCGAUGUCCGAAUGGGGAAACCCAGUGCAAUUCGUUGCACUAUCGUUAACUGAAUACAUAGGUUAACGAGGCGAACCGGGGGAACUGAAACAUCUAAGUACCCCGAGGAAAAGAAAUCAACCGAGAUUCCCCCAGUAGCGGCGAGCGAACGGGGAGCAGCCCAGAGUCUGAAUCAGCUUGUGUGUUAGUGGAACGGUCUGGAAAGUCCGACGGUACAGGGUGAUAGUCCCGUACACCAAAAUGCACAGGUUGUGAACUCGAAGAGUAGGGCGGGACACGUGGUAUCCUGUCUGAAUAUGGGGGGACCAUCCUCCAAGGCUAAAUACUCCUAUUUGACCGAUAGUGAACCAGUACCGUGAGGGAAAGGCGAAAAGAACCCCUGUGAGGGGAGUGAAAUAGAACCUGAAACCGUAUACGUACAAGCAGUGGGAGCCUUUAGGGGUGACUGCGUACCUUUUGUAUAAUGGGUCAGCGACUUAUAUUUAGUAGCAAGGUUAACCAUGUAGGGGAGCCGUAGCGAAAGCGAGUGUUAACUGCGCGUCUAGUUGCUAGGUAUAGACCCGAAACCCGGUGAUCUAGCCAUGGGCAGGUUGAAGGUUGAGUAACAUCAACUGGAGGACCGAACCCACUAACUUUGAAAAGUUAGGGGAUGACUUGUGGCUGGGGGUGAAAGGCCAAUCAAACCGGGAGAUAGCUGGUUCUCCCCGAAAUCUAUUUAGGUAGAGCCUCGGACGAAUUCCAUUGGGGGUAGAGCACUGUUAAGGCUAGGGGGUCAUCCCGACUUACCAACCCUUUGCAAACUCCGAAUACCAAAGAGAACUAUCCGGGAGACACACGGCGGGUGCUAACGUCCGUCGUGAAGAGGGAAACAACCCAGACCGCCAGCUAAGGUCCCAAAAUAUUGCUAAGUGGGAAACGAUGUGGGAAGGCCCAGACAGCUAGGAGGUUGGCUUAGAAGCAGCCACCCUUUAAAGAAAGCGUAAUAGCUCACUAGUCGAGUCGGCCUGCGCGGAAGAUGUAACGGGGCUAAACUGUGCACCGAAGCUGCGGCAGCGACACUAUGUGUUGUUGGGUAGGGGAGCGUUCUGUAAGCCGCUGAAGCUGGACUGUGAAGUCUGGUGGAGGUAUCAGAAGUGCGAAUGCUGACAUAAGUAACGAUAAUGCGGGUGAAAAGCCCGCACGCCGGAAGACCAAGGGUUCCUGUCCAACGUUAAUCGGGGCAGGGUGAGUCGACCCCUAAGGCGAGGCCGAAAGGCGUAGUCGAUGGGAAACAGGUUAAUAUUCCUGUACCUGAUGAGAUGUGACGAAUACUGGUCAUAGUUCUUCCUUAUUGGAUUGGAGGGGCUGUAAAGGUGUUCCAGGAAAUAGCCUCAUCAUAUAGACCGUACCCUAAACCGACACAGGUGGGUUGGUAGAGCAUACCAAGGCGCUUGAGAGAACUAUGCUGAAGGAACUCGGCAAAUUGCCUCCGUAACUUCGGGAGAAGGAGGCCCACCAUCGAGGCAACUCUUUGGUGGGGGCACAUAAGAGGGGGUGGCGACUGUUUACUAAAAACACAGGGCUCUGCGAAGUCGCAAGACGACGUAUAGGGUCUGACGCCUGCCCGGUGCCGGAAGGUUAAGAGGAGAUGUGCAAGCAUUGAAUUGAAGCCCCGGUAAACGGCGGCCGUAACAAUAACGGUCCUAAGGUAGCGAAAUUCCUUGUCGGGUAAGUUCCGACCUGCACGAAUGGCGUAACGACUUCCCCACUGUCUCCAACACCAACUCAGCGAAAUUGAAUUCUCCGUGAAGAUGCGGAGUACCCGCGGUCAGACGGAAAGACCCCGUGCACCUUUACUACAGCUUCAGAGUGGUAUUAGGGAUAACAUGUGUAGCAUAGGUGGGAGGCUUUGAAGCCGGGACGCCAGUCCUGGUGGAGCCACCCUUGAAAUACCACCCUUGUUGUCUCUGAUAUCUAACCACGUCCCGUGAAACCGGGACUGGGACCCUCUGUGGCGGGUAGUUUGACUGGGGCGGUCGCCUCCCAAAGAGUAACGGAGGCGCGCGAUGGUAGGCUCAGGUCGGUUGGAAAUCGAUCGUUGAGUGCAAUGGCAUAAGCCUGCCUGACUGUGAGACUGACAAGUCGAACAGAGACGAAAGUCGGUCAUAGUGAUCCGGUGGUUCUGUGUGGAAGGGCCAUCGCUCAACGGAUAAAAGGUACGCCGGGGAUAACAGGCUGAUACUGCCCAAGAGCUCAUAUCGACGGCAGUGUUUGGCACCUCGAUGUCGGCUCAUCACAUCCUGGGGCUGAAGUAGGUCCCAAGGGUAUGGCUGUUCG
rnacentral:rRNA from 1 species